rnacentral:tRNA from 2 species
GGGCCAGUGGCGCAACGGAUAACGUGUCUGACUACGGAUCAGAAGAUUCUAGGUUCGACUCCUGGCUGGCUUG